GGAAAGUGGCAAUGUAAGUGUCAAAAGAAAAAAAAAAGUAUAAAGAAUGAGUGUACUUGAAAGAUAAGAUCAAUAUUGACAAGUGCACCAUCUGACAGACUAAAACUGUGACUAAGUCAGCACUUUAGAUCAUAUGUCCAAAAUAAGACAAGGACUGGCUCAUAUGCAAAUCACACUCAUACAUAGAUCACUCAAAAUUUUGGUAGAUUUCAAGUAAGAUACUGCAAAGACCAAUUAAAACACACCUUCUGCAAGAGGAACC
rnacentral:misc_RNA from 1 species